rnacentral:rRNA from 1 species
CACGUAGGGUGCGAGCGUUGUCCGGAAUUAUUGGGCGUAAAGAGCUCGUAGGCGGUGUGUCGCGUCGGCCGUGAAAACCUGUGGCUUAACCAUGGGCUUGCGGUCGAUACGGGCAUCACUGGAGUUCGGCAGGGGAGACUGGAAUUCCUGGUGUAGCGGUGAAAUGCGCAGAUAUCCGGAAGAACACCUAUGGCGAAGGCAGCUCUCUGGGACGGUACUGACGCUGAGACGCGAAAGCGUGGGGAGCGAACAGG